rnacentral:pre_miRNA from 1 species
CAACUACUCCCUCUGUCCCAAAUUUCUUGUCUUAGAUUUGUAUAGAUAUGGAUGUAUCUAAUACUAAAAUGUGACUUGAUACAUCCAUAUCUAGACAAAUCUAAGACAAGAAUUUUGGGACGGAGGGAGUACUUU